GGUAAUAUGGCCGAGUAGGCAUUAGACUGUAAAUCUAAAGACAAGGGUUUAAGUCCCUUUAUUAUC
rnacentral:tRNA from 1 species